rfam:Methanosarcina sp. Ant1 MSANT_contig000167, whole genome shotgun sequence.
GGGGGUUGGUCCCCCGGAUUCGUAUUACAGGAUGUGAUUCCAAACCACCAUAAGCUGCUUUGGUCAAAAGCCACGGUGGUAAGCGUUAUGGGAAAAGGCGAGGCUGUGACUUCGUCAGGU